GGAAACGGUGGCUAAUACCGGAUGUGCCGAGAGGUGAAAGGCUAGCUGCCUGAAGAUGACCUCGCGUCUGAUUAGCUAGUUGGUGUGGUAAGAGCGCACCAAGGCGACCAUCAGUAGCUGGUCUGAGAGGAUGAUCAGCCACACUGGGACUGAGACACGGCCCAUACUCCUACGGGAGGCAGCAAUGGGGAAUUUUCCGCUUUGGGCGAAAGCCUGACGGAUCAAUACCGCGUGAGGGAGGAAAGCUCUUGGGUUGUAAACCUCUUUUCUCAAGGAAUAACUUCUGAAGGUUCCUGAGGAAUAACCAUCGGAUAACUCCGUGCCAGCCCCCGAGGUUAUAUGGCGGAUGCAAGCGUUAUCCGGAAUGAUUGGGCCUAUAGCGUCCGCAGGUGGGAGUGUAACUCUCCUGUGAAACAGUCUAGCUUAACUAGAUCAAAGCGGUGGAAACUACCAUCUAGAGUACGUUCGGGGUAGACGGAAUUCCCUUGUACCGGUCAAAUGAUUUUAUAUCACGAAAAUCACCUUGGGGCAAGGCGCCCUACUACGUCCGCG
rnacentral:rRNA from 1 species